AUUUUGUAAUUGUAGGGACAGGGUCUCACUGUGUUGCCUAGGCUGGUCUCAAACUCCUGGGCUCAAGUGAUCGUCCCUCCUUGGCCUCCCGAAGUGCCGGAAUUAUAGGUGUGGACCACCAUGCCUGGCCUUGUAGUUUAUUUCUAAGUUCAAAUUAAUGUUGGUGCCUUUCCUCCUUUUUCUUGGCAGAUGGUUUACUAGUGCACAGCCAGAGAACAACACAUCACACACAGGAAACAGUUGUGCUCAUGUGAUGGGGGCCUCAGCACUAGGAAGGAGUGGACUAUUGGCGCAUGUAGCAGCUUGAAUAAAUCUGAAAGUCACUACACUGCGUAAGAGAAGCCAAAUAAAAAAGUUCAUGCUGUGUACAGAGGGUGUUGAGAAUGCCUCCUACGUGACGGAAAGCAGAUCCGUGGUUCCCUGCAGACCGGCAGGAGCAGAUUCCAAAGGCACAGGAAGAAGCUUGCAGGUUUCCUUAACGACAACAAAAAAGGGAGUAAUCCUACCUACUGUAAGAGUCAUGACUCUUGAUUGCAGCUGACAGAAGCUCAUGACAGCCUGGUUUAGAUAAAAGGGGAAAGGACGACUGGAAGAAUCUUGGAGUUGGGAAUAUGGCACAUAAUUGAAGGAAGAGCAAUAAAACUAUAAUUCUUCCCGUGGAGACUGGAGUUUCCAGGAUGUGAAAAUUACCUCUGCUUGGGUGAGCUAUUCCAAGCAGCUGGGAUACCUGUGUCACUCCUGCUGUCUGCCAGUGACUGCCCAGGUGUCCGCUGGUUCCUCCC
rnacentral:lncRNA from 1 species